UCCCGGAAGCUUUAUGCUGGGAGACAGAGCUGAAGCCUUCCCCAAAGGAGUGAGAUUGUUCCCGAAGCUAACUAUAGCAUAUUUCGCAAAGGCCAGCGCGCCCUGGAAUUGCGUGGGCACACAGGCACGAGUACCUUUUCCGUGGCUCCGGAGGUCAGCUGCAGGCUGAAAGGCAUCGACUGGCACGGGGUCCCACGGGAAAUGCAUUUCCAGGUUUCCUUUUGCCAAAGAUUACACGUGCUUACUAAUAAAUCCCUAGGGAGAAAAAAGAAAUCUCUGGAGACAACAGUUUUAACACCGGAUUUGCAAAACGCAGCCUUGCUUCCCAUCAGCUCCCGUCCUUCUCCACUGUCAGGGUUCUGCUCUCAAGAAGGUGCUCAGCUCUCCCCAGCCCUGGGAAUAGAAUGAAAAUAGAACGGAGAUGCCAGGGAGAUCUGGGUCCUCAUCAUAACCAACCCUCUCUAACUAUGUACGAUUUUGGUUAAUUAUAGAAUUCUUGCUGCCUAAAACUUAAAGAUACAUCACUGAUAUUUUUGCUAAAUGUUGACUGCAGCGAAUAGCUAAGAUGUGGCAUAUUGAUUUCUUGUUGUGAAGUGAGCUGUUCAAGCUCCAUUUAAGAUUUUCAUCUUGCAUGUAGCCCUGAGCACAUCAUAGCACCAUAAAUUAGUUAAAUUGCACAUUUAUCACAAAUGUUAUUUUAAGAUACUGUGUAAAUGUGAUGGCUGGAAGAUAUACAGUAGGACUGCAACAAGCCUGGGCUUGGGCGGGGUGAGGUCGGGGUCACCUACACACCUGUGAUUAAAACCUCCCUCACUUGGCACCGUCCCUCCUCCUCCCAGGGCCCGUUUAAAGACCUGACUGGGAGGCCCCAUCCCUUCCCGUACUCGCAUUCUCUACCAGCACCAGCCUCAGGAGAACCAGCGCACAACUACGGGAGAUUCAGCAUGCCGCUUUAGAUCUGCCCGUUUUAUCUCCAGACAAUCGGGGUCAUUCUGGGCUGGGAAUGGAAGGCUCUUCCGGGCAGUGGCCCACUCUCUGGCCACGAGAGGGUGCGGUGACCUCCAGAGUAAAUGGCCGUACGUUUCCAAAUGGGGUGAGGCCCUAGCCAGUCAUACUCACCUCCUCCCAGGACGCACGGUCUGGGGGACUGUCCCUAGGCCAGAUUAGGUUUGUGUUCAUGACUAGGGCCUUCAACUCCCCGGCUGACUGUGUUUCUUCCCGAGGUAACACUAAUUCCUGGGCCCCGUUCCUGCGAGCAUCCUUUUCAGGUGCCGAGCUCCAGGUGCCCAACGGGCGAGAUCACCUGGUACCCGCCUUGGCUCUAAACCCUCACUUCCACACCCAAAGUGAAAAAGCCUGAAGAUAAUCCUGGGGUGGGGUGAGGAAGAGAUGGGCAGAGUAUUGGGUUCUUCUCCCAAACUGUAAAGUGGGGGGGGCGGGCACCCUCACUUGCACAAAUCCUAUCUCCCUUCAAGCCACAUGGGCCUGGUGGUGAUGGAAGUGUUGUCAGUUUAAUCUGUUAGACGCAGGACUUUGGAUUCUAAUAAACCGAUGCUAUAUUUAACCUGUGAAAAAUUCAAGAGUGGAAAUCUGGGCUCCAGGAUGUGAAGAUGCGGGAGGCACGGGAGGGAGGGUGCUGUCCCCUGAGCCGGGUUCCAGGGGGAGCUGGUCCCCCACCCCGCCCCCGGGAGGAAUGCAUUGUGUGCCACACUCCUCCCAGGUAAAGGCCCACGGGGCACACCACUACUCAGAGAGGGACGAGGCCCGCGGAGGAGCCGGGGAAGGAGCC